rnacentral:rRNA from 1 species
CAGACGAACGCUGGCGGCGUGCUUAACACAUGCAAGUCGAACGCGAAAGGGACUUCGGUCCUGAGUAAAGUGGCGCACGGGUGAGUAACGCGUAGAUAACCUGUCUUCAUGUCUGGAAUAAUACGCCGAAAGGGGUACUAAUACCGGAUAUUCUUGCUUUUCAUAAGUUAUGCAAGCAAAGGUGGCCUCUGCAUAUGCUACUGCAUGAAGAGGGGUCUGCGUACCAUUAGCUAGUAGGUGGGGUAAUGGCCUACCUAGGCGACGAUGGUUAGCGGGUCUGAGAGGAUGAUCCGCCACACUGGCACUGGAACACGGGCCAGACUCCUACGGGAGGCAGCAGUGAGGAAUAUUGCGCAAUGGGGGAAACCCUGACGCAGCGACGCCGCGUGAGUGAAGGAAGGCCUUCGGGUCGUAAAGCUCUGUCAAGAGGAAAGAAGUGUACAAUGGCUAAUACCUGUUGUAUUUGACGGUACCUCUAAAGGAAGCACCGGCUAACUCCGUGCCAGCAGCCGC